rnacentral:rRNA from 1 species
GAUGAACGCUGGCGGCGUGCUUAACACAUGCAAGUCGAACGGAAAGGCUCCUGCUUGCAGGGGUACUCGAGUGGCGAACGGGUGAGUAACACGUGGGUGAUCUGCCCAGCACUUCGGGAUAAGCCUGGGAAACUGGGUCUAAUGCCGGAUAGGACGAUGGUUUGGAUGCCAUUGUGGAAAGUUUUUUCGGUGUGGGAUGAGCUCGCGGCCUAUCAGCUUGUUGGUGGGGUAAUGGCCUACCAAGGCGUCGACGGGUAGCCGGCCUGAGAGGGUGUACGGCCACAUUGGGACUGAGAUACGGCCCAGACUCCUACGGGAGGCAGCAGUGGGGAAUAUUGCACAAUGGGCGCAAGCCUGAUGCAGCGACGCCGCGUGGGGGAUGACGGCCUUCGGGUUGUAAACUCCUUUCGCUAGGGACGAAGCGCAAGUGACGGUACCUGGAGAAGAAGCACCGGCUAACUACGUG